CCUGCCUCGGUCUGGAAGACGCGCGGGCGCUCGAGGAGCUCGCUUUCCGGCCCAGGUGUCCGGGGCCCUAGAGGCGCGAAGCUAGCCUUGCUCGGCGGAGCCCGCAUGCGCACAGGGGCUUUCGCGUUUGCUCGGCACUUCCCACCAGCGCGCAGCUUGAACUGGCAUCCUGCUAGAGGGUCAUAAUCCGGGGUUCACACUCACCGUGACCUGUCCUGGAUGGAGGAGCGAAUUCAACUCCUGGGGCACUCCUGAGAGUCGGGCACUCCUGCUAGGACUUUACGUUUCCCUAAGUCCAAAGAAGCACUGGCGGAAGCUGACCUCUCCAAGGAGAAUGCUGCUGAGAUGCCGAGGCUGGACACGGGGAGGGGACAGAAGGGAGUUCGCUUUGUCAGAAACUCAGCAAAACAGGGAAGAAGGAGCAGCAAUCUGUGGUCAGAAGCCACUGUGUGUUGCAGAGUGCAGAGCCCUGCUGCGAACUGGUGAACCACAAGCCCCGGCUACCUCCUUUACCAGCUCUGUGGCCACAGACCUAUAUCAUACAACGAGACCUGGAGUCUAGAGCAGAUGCUGCCACACCAAAGUUAUAUGGGGUAAGCAAAUAAUGCAAACACAGACCCAGGGAUACACGAAGUCUGAAGGUUAAGGGCAUACAGAAGAUGUCACUGAAUAUAAAAAUAUAUAGGGAAUGAAUUUGCAAAGGGUAUUCUAAUGUCUCUGGCAUAGCCAGGGCCAGUCUGUGCCAAGACUAGGAAAGACC